rnacentral:piRNA from 1 species
UGCUGCAAGAAGAGCGGAACCGAGGUUGC